UUAAGCGACUAAGCGUACACGGUGGAUGCCCUGGCAGUCAGAGGCGAUGAAGGACGUGCUAAUCUGCGAUAAGCGUCGGUAAGGUGAUAUGAACCGUUAUAACCGGCGAUUUCCGAAUGGGGAAACCCAGUGUGUUUCGACACACUAUCAUUAACUGAAUCCAUAGGUUAAUGAGGCGAACCGGGGGAACUGAAACAUCUAAGUACCCCGAGGAAAAGAAAUCAACCGAGAUUCCCCCAGUAGCGGCGAGCGAACGGGGAGCAGCCCAGAGCCUGAAUCAGUGUGUGUGUUAGUGGAAGCGUCUGGAAAGGCGCGCGAUACAGGGUGACAGCCCCGUACACAAAAAUGCACAUGCUGUGAGCUCGAUGAGUAGGGCGGGACACGUGGUAUCCUGUCUGAAUAUGGGGGGACCAUCCUCCAAGGCUAAAUACUCCUGACUGACCGAUAGUGAACCAGUACCGUGAGGGAAAGGCGAAAAGAACCCCGGCGAGGGGAGUGAAAAAGAACCUGAAACCGUGUACGUACAAGCAGUGGGAGCACGCUUAGGCGUGUGACUGCGUACCUUUUGUAUAAUGGGUCAGCGACUUAUAUUCUGUAGCAAGGUUAACCGAAUAGGGGAGCCGAAGGGAAACCGAGUCUUAACUGGGCGUUAAGUUGCAGGGUAUAGACCCGAAACCCGGUGAUCUAGCCAUGGGCAGGUUGAAGGUUGGGUAACACUAACUGGAGGACCGAACCGACUAAUGUUGAAAAAUUAGCGGAUGACUUGUGGCUGGGGGUGAAAGGCCAAUCAAACCGGGAGAUAGCUGGUUCUCCCCGAAAGCUAUUUAGGUAGCGCCUCGUGAAUUCAUCUCCGGGGGUAGAGCACUGUUUCGGCAAGGGGGUCAUCCCGACUUACCAACCCGAUGCAAACUGCGAAUACCGGAGAAUGUUAUCACGGGAGACACACGGCGGGUGCUAACGUCCGUCGUGAAGAGGGAAACAACCCAGACCGCCAGCUAAGGUCCCAAAGUCAUGGUUAAGUGGGAAACGAUGUGGGAAGGCCCAGACAGCCAGGAUGUUGGCUUAGAAGCAGCCAUCAUUUAAAGAAAGCGUAAUAGCUCACUGGUCGAGUCGGCCUGCGCGGAAGAUGUAACGGGGCUAAACCAUGCACCGAAGCUGCGGCAGCGACGCUUAUGCGUUGUUGGGUAGGGGAGCGUUCUGUAAGCCUGUGAAGGUGUACUGUGAGGUAUGCUGGAGGUAUCAGAAGUGCGAAUGCUGACAUAAGUAACGAUAAAGCGGGUGAAAAGCCCGCUCGCCGGAAGACCAAGGGUUCCUGUCCAACGUUAAUCGGGGCAGGGUGAGUCGACCCCUAAGGCGAGGCCGAAAGGCGUAGUCGAUGGGAAACAGGUUAAUAUUCCUGUACUUGGUGUUACUGCGAAGGGGGGACGGAGAAGGCUAUGUUGGCCGGGCGACGGUUGUCCCGGUUUAAGCGUGUAGGCUGGUUUUCCAGGCAAAUCCGGAAAAUCAAGGCUGAGGCGUGAUGACGAGGCACUACGGUGCUGAAGCAACAAAUGCCCUGCUUCCAGGAAAAGCCUCUAAGCAUCAGGUAACAUCAAAUCGUACCCCAAACCGACACAGGUGGUCAGGUAGAGAAUACCAAGGCGCUUGAGAGAACUCGGGUGAAGGAACUAGGCAAAAUGGUGCCGUAACUUCGGGAGAAGGCACGCUGAUAUGUAGGUGAAGUCCCUCGCGGAUGGAGCUGAAAUCAGUCGAAGAUACCAGCUGGCUGCAACUGUUUAUUAAAAACACAGCACUGUGCAAACACGAAAGUGGACGUAUACGGUGUGACGCCUGCCCGGUGCCGGAAGGUUAAUUGAUGGGGUUAGCGCAAGCGAAGCUCUUGAUCGAAGCCCCGGUAAACGGCGGCCGUAACUAUAACGGUCCUAAGGUAGCGAAAUUCCUUGUCGGGUAAGUUCCGACCUGCACGAAUGGCGUAAUGAUGGCCAGGCUGUCUCCACCCGAGACUCAGUGAAAUUGAACUCGCUGUGAAGAUGCAGUGUACCCGCGGCAAGACGGAAAGACCCCGUGAACCUUUACUAUAGCUUGACACUGAACAUUGAGCCUUGAUGUGUAGGAUAGGUGGGAGGCUUUGAAGUGUGGACGCCAGUCUGCAUGGAGCCGACCUUGAAAUACCACCCUUUAAUGUUUGAUGUUCUAACGUGGACCCGUAAUCCGGGUUGCGGACAGUGUCUGGUGGGUAGUUUGACUGGGGCGGUCUCCUCCUAAAGAGUAACGGAGGAGCACGAAGGUUGGCUAAUCCUGGUCGGACAUCAGGAGGUUAGUGCAAUGGCAUAAGCCAGCUUGACUGCGAGCGUGACGGCGCGAGCAGGUGCGAAAGCAGGUCAUAGUGAUCCGGUGGUUCUGAAUGGAAGGGCCAUCGCUCAACGGAUAAAAGGUACUCCGGGGAUAACAGGCUGAUACCGCCCAAGAGUUCAUAUCGACGGCGGUGUUUGGCACCUCGAUGUCGGCUCAUCACAUCCUGGGGCUGAAGUAGGUCCCAAGGGUAUGGCUGUUCGCCAUUUAAAGUGGUACGCGAGCUGGGUUUAGAACGUCGUGAGACAGUUCGGUCCCUAUCUGCCGUGGGCGCUGGAGAACUGAGGGGGGCUGCUCCUAGUACGAGAGGACCGGAGUGGACGCAUCACUGGUGUUCGGGUUGUCAUGCCAAUGGCACUGCCCGGUAGCUAAAUGCGGAAGAGAUAAGUGCUGAAAGCAUCUAAGCACGAAACUUGCCCCGAGAUGAGUUCUCCCUGACUCCUUGAGAGUCCUGAAGGAACGUUGAAGACGACGACGUUGAUAGGCCGGGUGUGUAAGCGCAGCGAUGCGUUGAGCUAACCGGUACUAAUGAACCGUGAGGCUUAACCUU
rnacentral:rRNA from 1 species